AGCAGCCGCGGUAAUUCCAGCUCCAAUAGCGUAUAUUAAAGUUGUUGCAGUUAAAAAGCUCGUAGUUGAAUUUCGGGAUCAAUAUGUUGGUCGUGCCUUGGUACGUACUGGCAUUAUCGAUUCCUACCUUCUGAAGAACCUCGAUGUCAUUAAUUUGGUGUCUUGGGGAAUCAGGACUGUUACUUUGAAAAAAUUAGAGUGUUUAAAGCAGGCUCGCGCUUGAAUACAUUAGCAUGGAAUAAUGAAAUAGGACGUUUGAUUCUAUUUUGUUGGUUUCUAGGAUCGACGUAAUGAUUAAUAGGGAUAGUUGGGGGCAUUAGUAUUCAAUUGUCAGAGGUGAAAUUCUUGGAUUUAUUGAAGACUAACUACUGCGAAAGCAUUUGCCAAGGAUGUUUUCAUUAAUCAAGAACGAAAGUUAGGGGAUCGAAGACGAUCAGAUACCGUCGUAGUCUUAACCAU
rnacentral:misc_RNA from 1 species